CUUGUACUCCCUCCGUCCGAAAAUACUUGUCAUUGAAAUGGAUGUAUCUAGGUGUAUUUUAGUUCUAGACACAUCCAUUUUGAUGACAAGUAAUUCCGGACGGAGGGAGUACUUG
rnacentral:pre_miRNA from 1 species